rnacentral:lncRNA from 1 species
UUCUCGGGUGAUUGAGAUCCAGGGCCAGAUGUCCUAGAGGACUGUGGAGCUGCUGAACCUGCCUGAGGACCAGCCCUGUUUCCUGCUAGAUGUGGGGGGCUGGGGUCAGAGACGGUGGACAGGACUGUCCCAAAUCAAGUCCAAUUCACAGGACAGAGAUCUCGCUUUAAGAACAUGAAGGGCAAGUCUGCAAAGAAGGGAAAGACUGGAUCCUGGAGGGGAGGAGAAGACAGAGCAGGGAAGUUCGAGCUGACACACAGUACACUGUCCGGCAGAGAAGGCCUCACUUCUAAACCCCAGUCAGUCCUGUGUGUUCCGGCCUGGAGAUUCACCCUUAUGGAGUACUACUGUCCUGCGGACAGAAUCUGGACAGAAACGGGCCCCUCUCUAGGACAUGGUCCCAAUCCUCUGGACAGAAACGGGCCCCUCUCUAGGAUGUGGUCCCAAUCCUCGGGACAGAAACGGGCCCUUCUCUAGGAAGUGGUCCCAAUCCUCUGGACAGAAACGGGCCCCUCUCUAGGACAUGGUCCCAAUCCUCUGGACAGAAACGGGCCCCUCUCUAGGACGUGGUCCCAAUCCUCUGGACAGAAACGGGCCCCUCUCUAGGACGUGGUCCUAAUCCUCUGGACAGAAACGGGCCCCUCUCUAGGACAUGGUCCCAAUCCUCUGGACAGAAACGGGCCCCUCUCUAGGACGUGGUCCCAAUCCUCUGGACAGAAACUGGCCCCUCUCUAGGACAUGGUCCCAAUCCUCGGGACAGAAAUGGGCCCCUCUAGGACAUGAUGGACAUCAGCAACAAAUGGACAGCAAAGAAAAUAAAUUCCCCUCUCUGAUCUUAGACCCAUUCAUCUGGACUAGAUAAUUUCCCCUCAAGCUGCAUAUUCUAUUUUAAAUGUUUGAUAUUUGUUUGAAAGCUUGAAUUAAACAUAUGUUCUCUAACAUGUCUUGAACUGCAUUGUUGGUAAAGGGCUUGUGAGUAAGCAUUUCACGGUAAGGUCAACACCUGUUGUAUUCGGCACAUGUGACAAAUAAAAUUUGAUUUGAUGACUUGUUUCAUAGGCCCAUAUCAAUACCAGUGAAUAUUCAUGUAAUUUAGAGGCCAAUAGUCAUCCCAGGCCUGUGGGCUACAUGUAAUUAUUUUGAGAUCUGCCGUAUUACAUUGUCGAUGGCCUCAUUCAUUUGAAUGCAGUGUUAUUAACUGAACAACAUUCGUCUUAUCUCUGUGAUAAGAAACAUGUUCUCUAACAUGACUCAGCUCUUCUCCAUGCUAGUGGAAGUGUCUAUGAACGAGAUCACUACUGCACAGACACAUGACAUAGGUCCCGUGUGGUUCAGUUGGUAGAGCAUGGUGUUUGCAACGCCAGGGUUGUGGGUUCGAUUCCCACGGGGGGCCAGUACGAAAAAAAAUAAAAAAUAAUUAUGCAUUCACUACUGUAAGUCGCUCUGGAUAAGAGCGUCUGCUAAAUUACAAAAUGUAAAUGUAAUGAAUCCAAACAAUGUAUUAAUGGU